GACGAACGCUGGCGGCGUGCCUAAUACAUGCAAGUAGAACGCUGAAGGAGGAGCUUGCUUCUCUGGAUGAGUUGCGAACGGGUGAGUAACGCGUAGGUAACCUGCCUGGUAGCGGGGGAUAACUAUUGGAAACGAUAGCUAAUACCGCAUAAGAGUAGAUGUCGCAUGACAUUUGCUUAAAAGGUGCAAUUGCAUCACUACCAGAUGGACCAGCGUUGUAUUAGCUAGUUGGUGAGGUAACGGCUCACCAAGGCGACGAUACAUAGCCGACCUGAGAGGGUGAUCGGCCACACUGGGACUGAGACACGGCCCAGACUCCUACGGGAGGCAGCAGUAGGGAAUCUUCGGAAAUGGACGGAAGUCUGACCGAGCAACGCCGCGUGAGUGAAGAAGGUUUUCGGAUCGUAAAGCUCUGUUGUAAGAGAAGAACGAGUGUGAGAGUGGAAAGUUCACACUGUGACGGUAUCUUACCAGAAAGGGACGGCUAACUACGUGCCAGCAGCCGCCGUAAGAC
rnacentral:rRNA from 1 species